rnacentral:ncRNA from 1 species
UGGAAAGCUUGGACACAGAGGGUGACAUCCCCGUAUCCGAAAUCCGCGCAGGCCAGGUGAAAGUAGCACACCACACGUGAAACGGUGUGUGAAGAUGGGGGGACCACCCUCCAAGGCUAAAUACUAGUUAGCGACCGAUAGUGAACCAGUACCGUGAGGGAAAGGUGAAAAGUACCCCUGUGAGGGGAGUGAAAUAGAACCUGAAACCAUGUGCCUACAAGGUGUAGGAGCCCUUCGGGGUGACUGCGUGCCUUUUGCUUAAUGAGUCUGCGAGUUAGUAUCUGUGGCAAGCAUAAGUCCUUCCGGGAUGUAUGCGCAGGGAAACCAAGUCCGAACAGGGCGUCAAUGAGUUGCAGGUGCUAGACCCGAAACGGAGGUGACCUACCCAUGGCCAGGUUGAAGCUGAGGUAAUACUCAGUGGAGGACCGAACCGGUGAAUGUUGAAAAAUUCUCGGAUGAGCUGUGGGUCGGAGUGAAAGGCUAAUCAAACCCCGUGAUAGCUGGUUCUCCUCGAAAUGCAUUUAGGUGCAGCGUCGCGUGCUGAUGAGUGGGGGUAGAGCACUGAAAGGGCUAGGGGGCACACCCGCCUACCAACCCCUAUCAAACUCCGAAUACCAUUCAAUGGAGCGCGGCAGUGAGACUGCGGGGGAUAAGCUUCGUAGUCGAAAGGGAAACAGCCCAGACCAGCAGCUAAGGUGCCUAAACUAUACUAAGUGGAAAGGAGGUGGGAUUUCUUAGACAGUGAGGAUGUUGGCUUAGAAGCAGCCACCAUUUAAAAAGUGCGUAAUAGCUUACUCAUCGAGAGAUCCUGCGCCGAAAAUGAUUGGCGAUAAGUAUAGUACCGAAGCUCUGGGUGUCAGAUUUAUCUGGCGCGGUAGAGGAGCAUUGUAACAGCGGUGAAGGGGAAUGGCGACUGAACCUGGAGCGGUUACAAGAGAGUAUGCAGACAUGAGUAACGAUAAGACGGGUGAGAUCCCCGUCCGCCGUAAACCCGAGGUUUCCUGGGCAACGUUUUUCGUCCCAGGGUUAGUCGGGACCUAAGCCGAGGCCGAAGGGCGUAGGCGAUGGAAAGCAGGUUAAUAUUCCUGCACGUGCAAAGGGAAGGGGACGCAUG